UACGUAGGCAGCGAGCGUUGUUCGGAAUUACUGGGCGUAAAGCGUGCGUAGGCGGUGCCUCAAGUUUGGUGUGAAAUCUCCCGGCUCAACCGGGAGGGUGCGCCGAAAACUGAGGUGCUCGAGUGUGGGAGAGGUAAGCGGAAUUCCUGGUGUAGCGGUGAAAUGCGUAGAUAUUGGGAAGAACACCGGUGGCGAAGGCGGCUCUCUGGACCGAUACUGACGCUGAGGCGCGAAAGCGUGGGGAGCAAACAGG
rnacentral:rRNA from 1 species